rnacentral:misc_RNA from 1 species
GUAGGUGAACCUGCGGAAGGAUCAUUAUUGAAAAAAUGAGUAUCUUUGAAGUUUACUUCAAGAUAUGAAUUUUUAAAUUUAAUUCUAACUUGUGAAUUCAAACUUAAUAUGGUAUGAGAAAUGCAUUUACUCUGGUAUUUACAUUAUCUCAUGCCAAACUUUUAAACACUUUUAUUGAGGGAUGUUUUAUUCAUAAUAACAAAAUAUAUCAAUAAAUAUACAACCUUUAACAAUGGAUCUCUUGGCUCCU